GGGCGGUUAGCUCAGUUGGUUAGAGCGCAGCGUUGACAUCGCUGAGGUCAUUGGUUCGAAUCCAGUACCGCCCACCA
rnacentral:tRNA from 2 species